rnacentral:rRNA from 1 species
AUUGAACGCUGGCGGCAGGCCUAACACAUGCAAGUCGAACGAGUGGCGGACGGGUGAGUAAUGUCUGGGAAACUGCCUGAUGGAGGGGGAUAACUACUGGAAACGGUAGCUAAUACCGCAUACCAUCAGAUUUGCCCAGAUGGAAUUAGCUUGUUGGUGGGGUAACGGCUCACCAAGGCGACGAUCCCUGGCUGGUCUGAGAGGAUGACCAUCCACACUGGACCUAGGACACGGUCCAGACGCCGACGGGAGGCAGCAGUGGGGAAUAGUGAACAAUGGGCGCAAGCCUGAUGCAGCCAUGGCGCGUGUAUGAAGAAGGCCUUCGGGGUGUAAAGUACUUUCAGCGGGGAGGCGUUACCCGCAGAAGAAGCACCGGCUAACUCCGUGCCAGCAGCCGCGGUAAUUC